rnacentral:rRNA from 1 species
GACGAACGCUGGCGGCGUGCUUAACACAUGCAAGUCGAACGGAAAGGCCCUGCUUUUGUGGGGUGCUCGAGUGGCGAACGGGUGAGUAACACGUGAGUAACCUGCCCUUGACUUUGUGAUAACUUCAGGAAACUGGGGCUAAUACCGGAUAUGAGCUCCUGCUCCAUGUUGGGGGUUGGAAAGUUUCGGCGGUUGGGGAUGGACUCGCGGCUUAUCAGCUUGUUUGUGGAGUAGUGGCUUACCAAGGCUUUGACGGGUAGCCGGCCUGAGAGGGUGACCGGCCACAUUGGGACUGAGAGACGGCCCAGACUCCGACGGGAGGCAGCAGUGGGGAAUAUUGCACAAUGGGCGGAAGCCUGAUGAAGCAACGCCGCGUGCGGGAUGACGGCCUUCGGGUUGUAAACCGCUUUCGCCUGUGACGAAGCGUGAGUGACGGUAAUGGGUAAAGAAGCACAGGCUAACUACGUG